CGCGGCCCAGCAGCGUCCGCCGCAGCAGCAUCCGCAGCAAUACAAGUCCUCGCCGGGGGGCUACCAGAGACACUACCAGGGAUCACCCAGGACAUCUACUCCAUUUGGUACAGCGCAUGGCAGAGAGAAAAGAGUGUCUAAUGAUGUGGAAAACUAUUACAGACCUUCAAUGCUUGAGGACCCCUGGGCUGGCCUAGAGCCAGUUUCUGUUACAGACAUAAACCAACAAUACAGCAAUGAGCAAACAACAUAUACUGGUAAAAAAGGGAGGUAUUUCAGUUAAAAUUUCUAAAAGCUAAAUAACUCCAUCUGUCAGGAAAACUUUUGGACAAAAUCUUUACACUUACACAAAAUGAACAAUAAUCAAGACCCUAGCUAAUGCUUAUAUUUGAACAAAUGUCCACCCUUUUAUCUGACUCUUUUUUACUGCAUUGGAUAUUUUUAUGUAUGGGGAGGGAAAGGUAGUGAUGGAAUAAUAUACAUUUCUGGCAACAUGGAAGUGCCUACCAGCUUUGAAGAACAGUGUUCUUUAAUCACCAGCGAUUGAUUUGUCUGUUAAAACAGGUUUCCAUAUAAUUACCUCUUCCAUGCCAGAUUAACUUUUAUUGUUUAACUCCUUUAGUAAGUGAUAUUUUUUUAUGUUUCAGUAUAUUUUAGAAUUAAGUGUGGAAACACAAAAAAUAAAAACCUUUGUAAAUCCUUGUUUGUAAUGUAAAAAUUAUUUUUGGACAUUUUUGUGAAGGUGUAUUUGUCAAAGAAUUAGUGAAAUUAGUCAUAUUCUGUAAAUAUACCUGUAUGCUGUGGUUAAACUGAUUUUUGUGCACAAUUUUCUGUUAAUGCUAGUGUGAUAAGUGAAACAUGAUUUUUAGCCAUCUCAGGAAACAAAUGUAUUUGGAAGCUUUAGUUUGUUAAACCAACUCUUUAAUGAUAAACAUUUGUAAUGAUCUUUGGGUUGGGUUUUUUGCUUAAGCGUUUUUUUGUUUUAGUUUUUGGUUGCAUUUUAAGGGAUUCAUAUUUGGAAACAAUAUGAAAUUUAUGGAUUAUAGCAAAUCUGUUUUAGAGCAAGUAAAGUUUAACCUGCACAUAAGCAUUAGAUAAUUAAAUGAAUGCAAAGAUGUUCUCUUCUAAUUUUUAAAAUAGUGUAGAUCUGGUGAUGAAUCAAACUCAAUUUGUAUGAUUAGAUUGAGUACAGUACAUACCAUAACAGUUUCACUCUGAAAUUGUCCGUUAGCAUUUAUAACUCUUCCGACUAUUUUUUUUUUUUACCAGUCUUUGCCUAUAAGAGCCUUUUUACCAUUGUUUGUCUCCUGAUGGGUAAUGUGUAUAUGAAAGCUUUUAAAAGGUUUUUCUACACAUGGAGUUAUCCCUAAAUCAGGGCUACUCAACUUUGGAAGCUCUGGGGGCCACAAUGAUACUCACAGCACAUGCCAAGGGCCGCAACAAGUAUGGUUGCAGAUAGCUUCUUUCACACUGACAGGCAAGAAUACACAACACACAGGCCCCCAUUCAAGUCAGUUCUGCUGAUAUUAAUAAAAUGCAAUAUUUACCUGAUUUCCACCCAUAUGACAGCACUUUUAAUGAGCACUGACAGCCCAGGAAUUUAACUACUAAAACACAUAUCAACAGAAGACCAUUAUAUUGACUACUUUUUUAUUUUGGCUCCUACCCGUGGGCCACAUGUUGAGUCCCAAGUAAAUCCAAACUGCACCGUGGUCUGCAAGCAAACAUGCAUGUUGACUAGCCUUUCCCUAAAUGAUUCCCCAUAUGAAUUUAUUUAUUUUCAGAAUAAAUAGUGGAUAACACCAUGUUUAGACAAGCCUUUAGUAGAGGGGUGGGCAAUAAUUUUUGACCGAGAGCCACUUCAGAAAUUUUAGAAGUGGCCCUGGGCUACCCUGGAAGUGGAUGGGGUCUCAGGCGGAAGGGGCAGAGCCAGUACACUUCUGUGCUUCUCCAUUCACAGACCCUGAUUGGUCUGGGGGUGGCGGAGUGCAUGAAGUCCUCCCUCCACUCCUGAGAGAACCGCCAGGUGUUCGGAACAGCUGACGGUUCCCUCUACAUGCUCAUGCCCCUGGGAGUGGGAGGAGAUUUCACGAGCUCCCUCCUCCCUCCCCCCCACCCCACCUCACCCUUCGGUCAAUCAGGGGCGAGGGGAGCAUGGGAAAUCUCUCAAUCCCUGACCCCACCCUGCAAGCAGCAGCUGGUGGUUGACUUUAAGGGCUGAGCCCUAGGAGACUUUGCACUCUCCCCUACCCCCAUCCAGCAAGGAGUGUGUGGUGCUUAGAAGCACUGUGCUCCUUGCAGGGCAGUAGGAGACUUUGUCUGACCCUCCCUGUCCCCAGGCCAAUCAGGGCUUGGAGGCAGGGGGAGCACGCCUAGUCUCCUCCUGCCUUGCCAGGAGCGAGCAGCACUUCUAAGCUCUGUGCGCUCCUUGCAGGAUGAGGGCAGGGCAGGAGGAAACUUAGCAUGUUCCCCUAGGCCCUGAUUGGCUUGAAGGUGGGGGAGGGAAGAGCAAAAAGUCUCUUGCUCCCUGUCCUCUGAUAUGCAGUGCUUUGUCAACCACCAUGGUUGUCUCUAAGGGACUUACACUCCACUGUCCCAACACCCUGAUUGGCCUGGAGGUAGGGGAGCAGCAGGGCCUUCAUGGGCCAGAUCAACCUGCUUGGCCCUUUUUUAAUGUCUCCUUACCCCUGCCUUAGUAUGACUUGUUAUGCUUUUAGUAAAUCUGUAAAUUGCUAAAACAUGAGACAUGGUUGGAAAUAUCAAUAUUUGUUUCUAAUGUUAGUUAUACUGGAUUUUAAAUAUAAAUUAUGGGGAGAGCUUAAUAAAGUAAAGGAAGUCUGAGGUCAA